CCUACGGGGUGCAGCAGUGGGGAAUAUUGGACAAUGGGCGAAAGCCUGAUCCAGCCAUGCCGCGUGUGUGAAGAAGGCCUUCGGGUUGUAAAGCACUUUCAGUGGGGAAGAAAGCCUUGGGGCUAAUACCCUCGAGGAAGGACAUCACCCACAGAAGAAGCACCGGCUAACUCCGUGCCAGCAGCCGCGGUAAUACGGAGGGUGCGAGCGUUAAUCGGAAUUACUGGGCGUAAAGCGCGCGUAGGCGGUCUGAUAAGCCGGUUGUGAAAGCCCCGGGCUCAACCUGGGAACGGCAUCCGGAACUGUCAGGCUAGAGUGCAGGAGAGGAAGGUAGAAUUCCCGGUGUAGCGGUGAAAUGCGUAGAGAUCGGGAGGAAUACCAGUGGCGAAGGCGGCCUUCUGGACUGACACUGACGCUGAGGUGCGAAAGCGUGGGUAGCAAACAGGAUUAGAUAGCCGGGUAGUC
rnacentral:rRNA from 1 species